rnacentral:sRNA from 1 species
GCCAGGUGCAGUGGUGCACGCCUGUAAUCCUAGCAGCUUGGGAGGCUGAGGAAGGAGGAUCAUGAGUUCAAAGCCAGCCUCAGGAACAACGAGGCACUAAGCAACUCUAAAUUGAGACCUUGUCUCUA